AAAGUCCUGAUGGUGGGCCAUCUUCAAUUCUCAACCAUCCGAUUAAGAUGCUCCAUCUAGAAGAUAGGGCAUUGUUUGGUUUAUCCGAAUAGUUGACUAAUGCUCCUUUUUUGGGUCACUUGACAUUCAAAGUGGACAUAUAGAGGCUGAAUUUGAGGGUUUAAAGUGCAAAAUCUUCCAUUUUUGCAUGAAGAGGAGAAGUUAUUCCAUCUUCAGAAGGAAGGAAGGUGGUUCUUCCGAUUUUCAGAAAGAGGAGUGAGUUUUCUUCGAUUUUGAGCUUCCUUUAGGUUUUGUAUUCAAAG